AACAGGAUUAGAUACCCUGGUAGUCCACGCCGUAAACGAUGUCGACUUGGAGGUUGUUCCCUUGAGGAGUGGCUUCCGGAGCUAACGCGUUAAGUCGACCGCCUGGGGAGUACGGCCGCAAGGUUAAAACUCAAAUGAAUUGACGGGGGCCCGCACAAGCGGUGGAGCAUGUGGUUUAAUUCGAUGCAACGCGAAGAACCUUACCUACUCUUGACAUCCACGGAAUUCGGCAGAGAUGCCUUAGUGCCUUCGGGAACCGUGAGACAGGUGCUGCAUGGCUGUCGUCAGCUCGUGUUGUGAAAUGUUGGGUUAAGUCCCGCAACGAGCGCAACCCUUAUCCUUUGUUGCCAGCGAUUCGGUCGGGAACUCAAAGGAGACUGCCGGUGAUAAACCGGAGGAAGGUGGGGAUGACGUCAAGUCAUCAUGGCCCUUACGAGUAGGGCUACACACGUGCUACAAUGGCGCAUACAAAGAGAAGCGACCUCGCGAGAGUAAGCGGACCUCACAAAGUGCGUCGUAGUCCGGAUCGGAGUCUGCAACUCGACUCCGUGAAGUCGGAAUCGCUAGUAAUCGUGGAUCAGAAUGCCACGGUGAAUACGUUCCCGGGCCUUGUACACACCGCCCGUCACACCAUGGGAGUGGGUUGCAAAAGAAGUAGGUAGCUUAACCUUCGGGAGGGCGCUUACCACUUUGUGAUUCAUGACUGGGGUGAAGUCGUAACAAGGUAACC
rnacentral:rRNA from 1 species